UAUUUUUUCUCUGGGAAUAGUUGGUUUUGA
rnacentral:piRNA from 1 species